rnacentral:rRNA from 1 species
GCCAUCACAAACAUUUACGCCCCCUCAACACGCGCUCUCAAGAAAUCCUUCCUCGAUGAAUUGAUAGCUAUCGCCCAACCAGAUGACUCACCCUGGCUACUUGUGGGUGACUUCAACCUCCUCCGUUUCCCCUCUAACAAAAACAAUGAUGCGUUUAGACAUACCGAGGCCAAUGCAUUUAACCAAACUCUUGAUGACCUAGCCCUCAUAGAAUUACCACUUCUAGACCGCCAAUUCACCUGGUCCAACAAUAGAGCCACACCCACCCUAGAACGGAUCGACCGUGCCUUUUUUAACUUAGCUUGGGCUGAUGCCUUUCCCAAUUCCUCCCUCACAUCCCUCACGCGUUUCACGUCUGACCACAUCCCCCUCCUCAUCCACGUCACCACAGCAAUCCCGCGGCCCAACUUUUUUAAAUUCGAACCUGGUUGGGCAAAUUUCCAGCCCUGCCGAGAUACAAUCCGCUCGGUUUGGGCUUCUCCACGGCCCACCUCGGCCACCAAUUUUGCCGCCACCCUUGCAUCCCUGCUCAAACAAACUCAAGCUGGACUCAAAAAAUGGGCACGUGCAUUCCAGCCCCCCUCCACGAAUCUCAUUGCAAAAUUGCUAUCGCUGCCCUCGAUCACGUUGAGGAAUCCAGGCCUCUCUCCCCACCAGAACUCCUCACCCGCAAGAUCAUCAUAUCUAUCCUUAAAUGCACUAUCCUAG